rnacentral:rRNA from 1 species
AGAGUUUGAUCAUGGCUCAGGACGAACGCUGGCGGCGUGCUUAACACAUGCAAGUCGAACGGUGAAGCCCUUCGGGGUGGAUCAGUGGCGAACGGGUGAGUAACACGUGGGCAAUCUGCCCUGCACUCUGGGACAAGCCCUGGAAACGGGGUCUAAUACCGGAUACGGCCUUCCUCUGCAUGGGGGUUGGUGGAAAGCUCCGGCGGUGCAGGAUGAGCCCGCGGCCUAUCAGCUUGUUGGUGGGGUAAUGGCCUACCAAGGCGACGACGGGUAGCCGGCCUGAGAGGGCGACCGGCCACACUGGGACUGAGACACGGCCCAGACUCCUACGGGAGGCAGCAGUGGGGAAUAUUGCACAAUGGGCGAAAGCCUGAUGCAGCGACGCCGCGUGAGGGAUGACGGCCUUCGGGUUGUAAACCUCUUUCAGCAGGGAAGAAGCGAAAGUGACGGUACCUGCAGAAGAAGCACCGGCUAACUACGUGCCAGCAGCCGCGGUA